UGGGGAAUAUUGGACAAUGGGCGAAAGCCUGAUCCAGCCAUGCCGCGUGUGUGAAGAAGGUCUUCGGAUUGUAAAGCACUUUAAGUUGGGAGGAAGGGCAGUAAGCGAAUACCUUGCUGUUUUGACGUUACCGACAGAAUAAGCACCGGCUAACUCUGUGCCAGCAGCCGCGGUAAUACAGAGGGUGCAAGCGUUAAUCGGAUUUACUGGGCGUAAAGCGUGCGUAGGCGGCUGAUUAAGUCGGAUGUGAAAUCCCUGAGCUUAACUUAGGAAUUGCAUUCGAUACUGGUCAGCUAGAGUAUGGGAGAGGAUGGUAGAAUUCCAGGUGUAGCGGUGAAAUGCGUAGAGAUCUGGAGGAAUACCGAUGGCGAAGGCAGCCAUCUGGCCUAAUACUGACGCUGAGGUCCGAAAGCAUGGGGAGCAAACAGG
rnacentral:rRNA from 1 species